rnacentral:rRNA from 1 species
CCUACGGGAGGCUGCAGUAGGGAAUCUUCCACAAUGGGCGAAAGCCUGAUGGAGCAACGCCGCGUGGGUGAAGAAGGUCUUCGGAUCGUAAAACCCUGUUGUUAGAGAAGAAAGUGCGUGAGAGUAACUGUUCACGUUUCGACGGUAUCUAACCAGAAAGCCACGGCUAACUACGUGCCAGCAGCCGCGGUAAUACGUAGGUGGCAAGCGUUAUCCGGAUUUAUUGGGCGUAAAGGGAACGCAGGCGGUCUUUUAAGUCUGAUGUGAAAGCCUUCGGCUUAACCGGAGUAGUGCAUUGGAAACUGGGAGACGUGAGUGCAGAAGAGGAGAGUGGAACUCCAUGUGUAGCGGUGAAAUGCGUAGAUAUAUGGAAGAACACCAGUGGCGAAGGCGGCUCUCUGGUCUGUAACUGACGCUGAGGUUCGAAAGCGUGGGUAGCAAACAGGAUUAGAUACCCUUGUAGUC